GCAAGUCGAGCGGAAACACAAGGGAGCUUGCUCCUGCUGACGAGCGGCGGACGGGUGAGUAACGCGUAGGAAUCUGCCUAGUAGAGGGGGACAACAUGUGGAAACGCAUGCUAAUACCGCAUACGCCCUGAGGGGGAAAGGAGGGGAUCACUUGUGACCUUCCGCUAUUAGAUGAGCCUGCGUGAGAUUAGCUAGUUGGUGGGGUAAAGGCUCACCAAGGCGACGAUCUCUAACUGGUCUGAGAGGAUGAUC
rnacentral:rRNA from 1 species